UCCUGGUUAGCUGCGUUGGUAUAGCGCUCAGCUGGAAAUAGAGGUAUCUGGUUCGAUACUAGGACCAGGUG
rnacentral:tRNA from 1 species